AACGUAGGAGACAAACGUUAUCCGGAGUUACUGGGCGUAAAGCGUGCGCAGGCGGUUGGGUCAGUCGCUGGUGAAAGCCCCACGCUCAACGUGGGAAUGGCCAACGAGACGGCCCGACUGGAGGCAGGGAGAGGCCGGUGGAAUUCCGGGUGUAGUGGUGAAAUGCGUAGAGAUCCGGAGGAACACCAGAGGCGAAGGCGGCCGGCUGGACCUGACCUGACGCUGAGGCACGAAGGCGUGGGGAGCGAACGGG
rnacentral:rRNA from 1 species